GACGGAGGAUGCAAGUGUUAUCCGGAAUCACUGGGCGUAAAGCGUCUGUAGGUGGUCAAAUAAGUCAACUGUUAAAUCUUGAGGCUCAACCUCAAAACCGCAGUCGAAACUAUUAGACUAGAGUAUAGUAGGGGUAAAGGGAAUUUCCAGUGGAGCGGUGAAAUGCGUAGAGAGUCGGAAAGAACGCCAACGGCGAAAGCACUCUGCUGGCCGACACUGACACUGAGAGACGAAAGCUAGGGAGCGAAUGGGAUUAGAACUACCCGAGUC
rnacentral:rRNA from 1 species